CCUACGGGCGGGCAGCAGUGGGGAAUAUUGCACAAUGGGGGAAACCCUGAUGCAGCGACGCCGCGUGAGUGAAGAAGUCUUUCGGUAUGUAAAGCUCUAUCAUCAGGGAAGAAAUCGCGACCUUUGGGUCGCCACACGUUACCUGUUUAAGAAGCCCCGGCUAACUACGUGCCAGCAGCCGCGGUCAUACGUAGGGGGCAAGCGUUAUCCGGAUUUACUGGGUGUAAAGGGAGCGUAGACGGCAGCUCAAGUCCGAAGUGAAAUGCCGGGGCUUAACCCCGGAACUGCUUUGGAAACUGGGCAGCUAGAGUGGAGGAGAGGUAAGUGGAAUUCCUAGUGUAGCGGUGAAAUGCGUAGAUAUUAGGAGGAACACCAGUGGCGAAGGCGGCUUACUGGACUGUAACUGACGUUGAGGCUCGAAAGCGUGGGGAGCAAACAGGAUUAGAUACCCGGGUAGUC
rnacentral:rRNA from 1 species